rnacentral:lncRNA from 1 species
AGCUGCGUCCCUGCCCUGAGGUGAGUCCAUUUGGCCAGAGCAGGAGCGGUGCCCUGUCUCCAACCCAAAUCCAUAAGCAUGUUCUGAGUGUUCCAACUCUUUCUUCAACUCCAUCCCUGAGCCCGGAGUCUCAGCCAGGCGUCUGCCAGGGGCUCUGCCUGGGCUGGGGUUCAGCCUGGCGACCUUCAGUCUAACACCACCUCUCAGCCCUUCCUCCUGUUUCUCAGGAGCCCUAGAAGCUACCCUGGCCUGGGGCCCGGGAAGCUCCAUUUUGUUUCUCCUCAGCUGGGGCGCUGAACGAAUGCCCUCGACACUGGGGUCUUUCUCUCUCAGUCCCCCAGAGCGCUCACCCCAACUUACCCCGCCUCAGUACAUAAAAACCUCUGCAUCUCCACCAUGGGGUACCGAGAGCCUUUAACUCAGUCCCAGCUGCCUUCCCGCCCAGGCCCUUCCCUUAGUUCUGCUCCUUAAAACCACGAUUGCAGACAGGACAUAGAGGUUCAGGUGGAAGGGGAACAAAGACAUUUGGGGAGAACUCCUGAAAGAUAAAGCCCAGGGAAUCCUGUCUGGCCCCCCAAAUAGCACCACUUUUACAAGCUCCAUUCACAACCACUGGCCCCUUUGGACACGUGAUGACUUUACAGAGGCUGCAGGCUUGGUAGUUUCAAGGCCAAGAUUCAAGACAGAUAUUGUGGGUCCAGUGUCCUUGCCCCUUGAGAAACAAAGAGCAAACCAACCCCAGAGAACACGUCCACCUCUCUGGCCCCUGGGCAACCAGAGCCGGAUGGAACCACCCAUCAGAGGCAGAAGACACACAUCUUUCUGCCCCCUGAGGUCAGUUGAUUUGUGCCAGAGAGUCAGUGGUGCGCUGUGAGCCAUCUUAACACAUCCUAGGGCUCCCACUAACCCGUCUUUGCACCAGCAUCCAGGGGGCUUCAGAUGGGCUUUGUCUGUGCUCUGGCCCCUUCCGGAGGCCGUCUCCUCUAACAAACACUGACUCUCAGCCUUUCCUCCGGUUUCCCUCAGCGGCCCCCCAGGGCUCUCCUGGCCUUGGGCAGCUGCAGGCUUGAAGGAAUUCCUCCUCACCUUCUAAGCCAAGUGAAGUGCCCAGAGAGAGGGGCAAUUCUCUCAAAGACUCCCAGCACACACCCCAACCGACCCCAACGUAAGGCCUUAAACCCUCUGUUUUCUCCACCCACAUGUGCCAUGAGAGCAUCCUUUCAAUCGAUUACCCUACUUUAACUCCCGAGAACCACCUUUAAGUCUGCUCCCUGAACAGGGGUUGGGGACAGGAAAACAAGGCCCCAAGGGAAAGAGAGGAGGGAGUUAGGGGAGGUGUCUUGAAGCACAAAUCCUAGCGAAUUGCACAGUUGCCCAAUCAAAGCAGCACCACUUUCACGUGCUCCAUUCACGACCACCAGCCCCUUUUGACAACCACAUGGAUGGGAGGCUUGGCAACUGCAAGGCCAAGAUUCAAGACAGACAUUUGGGGUCCAAAGAGUAAUCUUACCCCAGAGAACCCGUCACACUCUCUGGCCCUGGGCCACCCAGGCAGGCCAGAAAUGCCCAUCGGGUGCUGAAGGCACAGCUCUGUCCCUCCCUGAGGUGAGGUGACUUGGGACAGAGUGUUAGAGGCACCCUGUAAGCAGCCCCAGGUCUGUGAGCAGGUACUGAGUGUUCCGACACUCCUGCAACUCCACCCCCGAGUCUGGGUGUGCUGCCAGGCAGGUACACGUGGUCUCUGCCAGUGCUGUGGUGCGGCCUGCUGACCCUCUGCUCUGACUCCAUCUCUCAGCGCUUCCUCCUGGUUCCCUCAGCAGCCCCUGAAGGCACACGCUCCUUGGGCCCUGGCAGCUUGAUUUCAUUGCUCCUCUGCCACCCAACACAAUGAAGUACCCUGGACACUGGGGUAAUUCUCACAGCCCAGAGCACUCACCCCAUCCUAACGGACCCCAAUACAUUCAAACCCUCUGCCUCCCCACCCGCUGUGUCUUGAGAGCUUUAAAUCAAUCCGCUUUCAUUCACAAGACCUGUAUUAAAGUUAGCUCCUUAUGAUACAGAGGUAGAGGCCCCCCUCCAAAAAAAAGGCUCAGGGAAGAAGUUUGGGGAAACAUCUUGAGGAAAAAAUCCAGUGCUUCUAACAGCCUCCCACCAAAAUUAUCACAACCGUUCUGAGCUCCAUUCAUGACCACCAGCCCCCUUUUACACCCCGCAACUUCACGGAGGCCAGCGGCUUGAAAAUUUCUAAGUUCAGGACUCAAGACAGCUCUUUGUGCGUCCAGAGUCCUGCCUCUGAAAAAGCAAAGGGUGUUUUUCCCUCUAACGACACCUCUCAGCUCUCGCUUCUGUAUCCCUCAGCAGCACAACGGGACAAGCUGGCCUCGGACCCUGGCAGCUUGAUUUCCUUCCUCCUCGCCCUUUUAGUGCAAUGAGGGGCCCAUCAGAUGGGGGCACUUCUGUCUCCGUCUCCUGGAGGCCUCACCUCAGCCUGCUCCACGCCCAUCCAUGACAUUUCUCUGCCUCCCCCCCACGAGAGCCUGGCUUGUUUCCACCACUCUCCCUUACUUCCCGCCACCCGCAUCCAGGUCUGCCCCAGAACACGGGUUAGAAGCAGGCAGAAAGCUCAGAUGGAAGCGCGGUUAGAAAUGCAGGCGGAACUCUUGAGGGGCAAAGUACACAGAUCGGCACAGCUGCCCCCCAAAACCGCCCCCUUCACAUGCGCCAUUCACAAACUUCCGCUGAAUAUUUCCUUUAACAUAGCAACUUCCCUGAAGCUGGAGACUUGAAAACGGCAAGCUCAGGAUUCAGACAGGUAUUUCACAUCCAGAGUCCUGCCUUUUGAGAAAGAAAAACCAGUCUGACGCCAGAGAACUUGUCAAACACUCUGGCCCCCGGGCUGCCUGCCUGGGCUUGACAUGCCCAUCCGAUGCUGAAGGCACAGGCCUGUCCCCUCCCUGAAGUUAGGCAAUUUAGGCCAGUGCACCCUGUAACCAACCCCAACAGGCUGGGCACCUCUCGGGGGUCCUACCAACCCAUCUCCAACCUUAGCUCUGAGCCUGGAGGUGCAGCCAAGGAAGAGCAGGGGGACCUGCCCGUGCCCUGGUGCUGUCUGGUGGCCCUCAGCUCUAACAUCGACUCUCAGCCCUUCCGCCUGUUUCCCUCAGCAGCACCCACCACCCAUCAGGGGGUGGGCCUGCACUGCCCUUAGACCCCUGCCAGCUGCAUUUCACUCCUCCUCACACUCUGAGUGCAACGAA